AGUCGAGCGGGGUUUUCGGACCUAGCGGCGGACGGGUGAGUAAUGCGUAGGAAGCUACCCGAUAGAGGGGGAUACCAGUUGGAAACGACUGUUAAUACCGCAUAAUGUCUACGGACCAAAGUGUGGGACCUUCGGGCCACAUGCUAUCGGAUGCGCCUACGUGGGAUUAGCUAGUUGGUGAGGUAAUGGCUCACCAAGGCGACGAUCCCUAGCUGGUUUGGGAGGAUGAUCAGCCACACUGGAACUGAGACACGGUCCAGACUCCUACGGGAGGCAGCAGUGGGGAAUAUUGGACAAUGGGCGCAAGCCUGAUCCAGCCAUGCCGCGUGUGUGAAGAAGGCCUUCGGGUUGUAAAGCACUUUCAGUAGGGAGGAAGCGUUGAGUGUUAAUAGUACUCAGCGUUGACGUUACCUACAGAAGAAGCACCGGCUAACUCUGUGCCAGCAGCCGCGGUAAUACAGAGGGUGCAAGCGUUAAUCGGAAUUACUGGGCGUAAAGCGCACGUAGGCGGUUGUUUAAGUUGGAUGUGAAAGCCCCGGGCUCAACCUGGGAAUUGCAUUCAAAACUGGACAACUAGAGUGUGUGAGAGGGGGGUAGAAUUCCAAGUGUAGCGGUGAAAUGCGUAGAGAUUUGGAGGAAUACCAGUGGCGAAGGCGGCCCCCUGGCACAACACUGACGCUCAGGUGCGAAAGCGUGGGGAGCAAACAGGAUUAGAUACCCUGGUAGUCCACGCCGUAAACGAUGUCUACUAGCUGUUCGUGACCUUGUGUCGUGAGUAGCGCAGCUAACGCAUUAAGUAGACCGCCUGGGGAGUACGGUCGCAAGAUUAAAACUCAAAUGAAUUGACGGGGGCCCGCACAAGCGGUGGNNCAUGUGGUUUAAUUCGACGCAACGCGAAGAACCUUACCUACUCUUGACAUCCNGAGAANACUGCAGAGAUGCNG
rnacentral:rRNA from 1 species